AUUGAUCAUGAUCAUUUAUCAGUCCUUUCUUCCAUCAGAAUUUUUCUAGCCACUUUUAAAAAAGGAAGGAAAAGCAAGAGAAACGUACCAACCACAAACUAGGUCAAGGAUGAAGAGCUAACUCUUCUGAAUUAUCUGUCUUGAAAAGCUUUAAGAUAUCACAACAUUCUUAUUUGUUCUUCCCUUCUUGUUGUAGAGACUUGGAAUUGUGUCCUUGGUUAUAGAAACCUUAGGGAGUAAAGUGUAAAUUAAUUUAGAAAUGAAUUCUAGUCAAUUUUGCUACCAAUUAAAUUCUAAUUGAGACAAAGUAUUGAGCAAUUGGCUAAAUAAGUAAGUCGAAGGACUUGGUGUUUUAAGUGGUUGCUAAUUACAUAAGAAUCAUUCACUAUUAGUGUCAGUGAUUAAGAGUUAACAGUGACGCUUCUAAGUUUUGACUUUGAUAGGUAGUCUGAAUAAUAAAUCAAAGCACUAGAGUUAUUGUAGUGGUGGCAAAUUUUUCUAAAAGCAUAUUUUAGAUGUCAAAAAAACCCAUGACUGUUUAACAAUAAAUUAAUUAAUUGUGGAAUCAAUAAAAUUCAAUGGUUUUGACUUUGAAUUUUCUACAGAAUCAGGUAACAGUCAGCAUUCUAUACUGUUGCAUCACCUUAGAUCACAAUAAAAUUGAGGCAAAGAACAUAGUGAAAGGCGAGUUUUAUUUUGAAUGAGAAUGAGGAUAUUUAACAUCUAGGCUUGGAACUGACUAUACCAACUUGAUUAUGUUCAUUAAUGCAGGAAAAACAGCCCUACUAGUCAGAGGAGUAUCUGAGGGGAGUGUCAGAUGUUUGCAAUAGAAGCAAAAGUACAUAGAAGCUGAGGAAGAUGAAUUGAAACAUGAGGAAAGACUGGAGAUCUGGGGAGAGAAUGCCAACGGUGUCUGCUAGAGGCUCCAUGUGAAACAACAUUUCUAUCAAGGUUCAAGAUAAUUGAUGUGCUUAAUAUGUAUUCUUCUACUUUCUGGAUCCAAUUACCAUCUCUUCACAAAAGAAUACAAAUCUACAUGUCUACCCCUAAAUAUUACUGAUUCCAAAACAGCUCUUCAAAUAUAAGCUGGAGAUGUCUAGCACGUAAUUACCCAUAAAGAUCCAGCAUCAACAACAAUGGACUAAAUUAAAUGGCUCAACUGUGUCAAUGGACUUCUUGCCUCACCUAGUCCACCUCUUAAGACAUCUAUAGAACUGUCAAUGAUUUUCUGGCCUCUAAGGAAAGGCUGAUUUUGAGUGUGUUUGACUGCAUCUUGAAGGAAAGAGAGAAAGGCUAAGAAAUUCAAGAGUAAAUAAGGGGCAUAUGCCUGAUUAAAUGGAUAUACAGAAAUAGGAAAUAGAGAACUUAGGAGAAUCUUGCAAGAAAGCAUCAAAUGUUAGGGUGCAGGUUGGCUGAAGCUUUCUGGAAAGGUAACUAACUAGAAAAAGUGUUGAUAAUGGAUGAGGCAGAUGUAAAAAGAAGAAUCUAAAAUCUUGGUAAUAUUUAUCUUGGCUCAGGUAUCUUAAUUACUAUUGAAUAAAAUUGCAUUAUAUAAAUCUACAUCAAUUAUGACACCUUAAUCAGAAGUAAAGGAAAUUUUAAAACCAUGUAGAGAAUUCUAUUUCUAUGAAAUUUUUACAAGAGAUUGUAUUUUAUAAAUGUCAAAACAGGUAGGGAACUAUAAAUAGGCAGAUAAUGAUGGAAGGUGCAAAUUUAGCAGUGACUAAACCAUCAGGACAUUCUAUGGGAUAGCAUCUCCAUUUACAUGAGCUAAAUACCAUGGCAGUAGAAAAUCAUUUACACAUUCACUCUUGGAGCCUCAAUGCUCUGAUGAACAGGCUAGCUUCUCUCCAGUAGCCAUGAGACUCAAAUGAGAUAUUUGAACACUAUGCUCUUUAAAUGUGCUGAAUUCCUUCUGCCUUAGCUCUUAAGCCACUGCUGAUCUUCUUAGAACCACACACCGCAGGUGCCUCCCUGUGGAAACUGCAAACGUUGACUCUGUCUUCCACCUUUGGAUGACUUAGAACAUGUUGAGGCUAAGGUUCAUUUGUUAUCAACAUUCAGAAACUGCCAUUUCCUUUUCUACCUGCAAAGCCUAAUAAUAACUUUUUAAACUAUUGCUUCAUUUGCAUAUUCACCACACAUCCUGCUCUCAGAUGUGGAAUCUAAAAGCUUGCUGAGAAACUGCCUCCAAUGUUGCUCCCUUAACUUUCACUGUGGAAAACUCUGAAGGAAGUUGACUGCACCCUUUAAUGGAAGCAUGAGGAACCAGUCUCUUUCCUUUAGAUAUGAAUGAAAAUGUCUCCAUUGUGACUCAGCAGAUCUCCAGGAUUUUCCUGUGUAGUUUCUGUUUUGGCUCUCAACUGGUGGAAACUGACUGCUACAAGACCGAGGUUUUUAAAUCAAACCCAAAUAACAAAACAUAUUUCGAGCUGAAAAAGGUGGUGGCAUCAGGCUGGGGGACUAGAGAGGCCCAAGAAGAACGAAAGACAGAGGAAUAACAGAUAAUUGUUGCUAUGUGGAGGUGGAUACAGAAUAUUGGAAAGAGAGGAACCAUGCAAAGAGGUAAGAGACUGGAGAGAAUGAUAUUAUUCUCAGAAUUCCCUGAUAGAAUCUUCAUAGCAGAGAAGAUUUAAAAAUCAUCCAAGUCUUCUGUAUCAAGGUGAAGGACUUGGUUUGGAUCAACUGUCCAUCUUUUUGAUGAAAGGAACUUCCAUGGCAAACAACAUUCUCUGGAGGCCUGGAAAAAUUGAGAAUAGCACUGGCUACAAAACUUGCUUGAGUAGAGUAAAGCAGCACUUUGCUAUGCAGAAGGCACCUCCCUCAAGGCUGUGCUAAUAAAUGUCAUCUUCCCAGUGCCUCCUUGACUACCAUUCUUUGAAUUGCAGUUCUUACUUCCUCCUUCCUACAUCCUCCUGCACUCUCAAUCUCUCGUUUUUUGCUACAUUCCCUUUCUCCAUAGUA